ensembl:lncRNA
AUGCAGUUAGAAAUUUACUUAAAACAAGUCUAUCGCAAGACAUCUGGUGGUGGUGGUGGUGGUAGUGUGAUGAUCUGGGGCUAUUUUGCUGCUUCAGGACCUGGAAGACUUGCUAUGAUAAAUGGAACCAUGAAUUCUGCUGUUUACCAAAAAAAUCCUGAAGGAGAAUGUCUGGCCAUCUGUUCGUGACCUCAAGCUGAAGCGAACUUGGGUUCUGCAGCAGGACAAUGAUCCAAACACACCAGCAACUCCACCUCUGAAUAGCUGAAGAAAAACAAAAUGAAGACUUUGGAGUGGCCUAGUCAAAGUCCUGACCUGAAUCCUAUUGAGAUGGUGUGGCGUGACCUUAAAAAAGGGGGUUUAUGCUCGAAAACCCUCCAAUGUGGCUGAAUUACAACAAUUCUGCAUAGAUGAGUGGACCAAAAUUCCUCCACAGCGCUGUAACAGACUCAUUUCAAGUUAUCGCAAACACUUGAUUGCAGUUGUUGCUGCUAAUGGUGGCCCAACCAGUUAUUAGGUUUAGGGGCAAACAGUUUUUCACACAGGGCCAUGUAGUUUUGGAUUUUGUUUUCCCUUCCAGUUUCAAGUUUGUUUUAUUUAUAUAGCACAUUUAAAAAAAAAAAAGAAAAAAGCACAGCUGACCAAAGUGUUGCAGAAACAAAAAACUAGAACACAUGAAAACCCACAGAUUCAUACCAUAAACUCACAAUACAUUAAAAGCCAAAGAAAAAAAAAUAGGUAUUAAGAGACGAUUUAAAAACAUUUAAAGACUGUGCUGAUCUGAUAUAGGCUGAAAGGCUGUUCCACAGCUUAGGGCCAGCAACCCCAAAGGCUCUAUCCCCUCUAUGCUUUAACCAUGAUCUGGGGACAAAGAGAAGUCUUUGAUCACCAGACCUCAGAUUUCAUGUAGGAUUGCAUAGACAUAGAGAAGAAUGUUGAACUCAAUUCUAAGAUGCACAGGUAACCAAUGCAACGAUUUCAAAAUUGGAGUAACGUGAUCAAAUUUACGUUAUCCUUUGAAGAAUUUAGCAACGGUGUUUUGUACUAAAUGGAGACGAGCGAUGGAAGACUUAGAAAUGCCAAGAUAAAGAG